UGGAGUAGCCCAAGGUUGCGGCAAUACGGCUUGCGCAAUUCCGCCGCCGAACGUGGUAUUUGGCCAGAAAACUCGGAGGUAACUCAGAUUCUUGCCCAAGAAUGUGGCGGUCGUUGGCGUUUCAAAGUGUUUUCUGGCCAAUGCCAGGCGGGAAAAGCCAAGCUAUUGCCUCGAAAUUGGGUGAAAACAUUUUCCAUAGCUUGCAGCGGAAAAGUGCAAGCGGCGUGACGAAAACUGUGGAAAUCUCGGCGGUGAGUCGUGAUCCGGCUACCUGUCAGGGGAUUACUGGAAGGCAGUCUACCUGAGAUAGCAUAACUGUGCGUUCCAGAGAGCCGAAACUGUUUCCAAAUAAAGCGAAACUGGAGUGAGAGGCAUUCCAAGAAAAUGUGAGGAGUGAGAGCUGUUUAGAAAGAAUACUUGGAAAUCUAAAAUUUUUCUACUCAAAAAUGAUACACCAAAAUGAUGCAGAAGUUGCUGGAAAUAAAGUUAGUGGACAUAAAGUACCUUAACUAAGUCUAGGUUUCCCAGUUCGUACCAACAAUGUUGAGCCUUUUAAGGGGGCCAUUAAAAACUACAAAAUCCGUCCCUGAUUAAACACUCGAACGGUUAUCAAUUUUAGUUGCCUGCCUUGUGCGCCGAAUUCGCCGACCUCAGCACAAAUCACAAAUUCGGAUCGGAGAGAUAUAACUACAUAUGUACGUUUGCAGAGAGGGAGAGCGGAAAUAUCAUUCCAGUCGCCAGCAUUCCAGUUCCAGGCUGACCAGCCGCUUCGCUUCGAGUCGAAACGGUGCGUUCAUUUGAAAACUGAACCGAGAAGCGAGCGGUUGUGUCCGUCCCACGGCCUAGCCUUCACUGUACUGCCAGUCCAGGCUUGACUGUACCUUAAGAACCAUUGUAAUCUGCGCAUUUGAGGUGACAAAUCCAUUGCAUAUUUGUUUACCGUGAUCUACGCAGAGAGAUUAAAACUGUGUCGAUUACCGUGUUAAAUCAACUAAAAACCAGUGUGAUAUUAACCCCGUAAGACUCAGACACGUGCUGCCAAAGACUCCGCUCUUUGGCCAGCUCGCUUUGGAGCCCCAAGUAGCCGAUGCCACGUGUUUGCUCCACAUGCAACGUGUUGGCCGAAGCGAUCUUACAAGGGCUAGAUCUAUUUAACUUAGAACUCGUCCACGAUGGACACAUGCACUCGCUCACUAAUCAGUUCAGAAAUGUAUUUUCAUAUAUGUACAAUAUUUAGUCAGUUGCUGGAUUUUUAUUUCAUGCUGAAACUACAGACUUAAGUUGUCCAGAAAAACUACUAGAAGUACCCUUCGUAAAACUAACAGCAGGAACACGGGAUUUAAGUUAAACUUAUGCUGGCUGGCUAGCAUUUAAUCUUUAAUGCCCUAACCUUAACAAUUUGCGAUGGAAAAA